AAGCGUUAUCCGGAAUUAUUGGGCGUAAAGCGUCCGCAGGCGGCUGAAAAGUCUGCUGUUAAAGCGUGGAGCUUAACUCCAUCAUGGCAGUGGAAACUGUUGGGCUCGAGUGUGGUAGGGGCAGAGGGAAUUCCGGUGUAGCGGUGAAAUGCAUAGAUAUCGGGAAGAACACCAGUGGCGAAGGCGCUCUGCUGGGCCAUAACUGACGCUCAUGGACGAAAGCCAGGGGAGCGAAAGGGAUUAGAUACCCCUGUAGUCCUGGCCGUAAACGAUGAACACUAGGUGUCGGGGGAAUCGACCCCCUCGGUGUCGUAGCCAACGCGUUAAGUGUUCCGCCUGGGGAGUACGCACGCAAGUGUGAAACUCAAAGGAAUUGACGGGGGCCCGCACAAGCGGUGGAGUAUGUGGUUUAAUUCGAAGCAACGCGCAGAACCUUACCAACCCUUGACAUCCUAGGACAACUCCAGAGAUGGAGCCUUCCUUCGGGACCUAGUGACAGGUGCUGCAUGGCU
rnacentral:rRNA from 1 species